rnacentral:tRNA from 1 species
GCUGCGCGUGCGGCCCGGCCAGCUGCCUGGCGGUCGCCACGGCAGCCGGCGAGAAGUCGAUGGCGGUGGCGUUCCAGCACGCUUCGCGCAGCA